CAUGGCAAAGAAAAAUAACAUGAAGAAAAGAUGGCAAGAAUUUGGAAGGAAGGAUCCUCCUUAACGCUGCUGUUAUUUUAUAUGUCCUUGAGAGACUUCAGUGGACUAAUUAACCAACUGGAAGAUAUCUAUGUCCCUCAUGGAAGACAGAGCAUGUGUGGAGUGACCAGAUCCCAAAAUAGGGAACUCAUGAGGACAAACCCUCAGGAGCUGCGGUAGUUUCUUCCAGAAGGAAAAAUCAAUACAGUCACUGAUAACAACUUAGAGAUUAAAACCAUGAAAAGCAAAGCAUCUGUUUAGUUUUGUUUUACGUUGUAGGUGUGAAGUAGAACUAUUUGACAUACGUGAUCUGCAGAUAGUCUGGGCUGGUGAAAAUUGUAUUAGCUUCUUGUUUUUCAUAGAUUCAAAAGAAAGAGAGAGUGCUGUGUGUGUGUGAACUCUGCAUCCAGAAGCACCUCCGUCUUUGUAGACUUAGAAUCAUAGAAUAUCCUGAGUUGGAAGGGACCCAUAAAAAUCAUUGGGUCUUGGAUCCACACAGGACCAUCCAAAAAGUCAGUGGGACUCACCUCAUCUGUUUGGGGUCUGCCACAGGGUGCCAGACGCCGUACUUUUUUCAGCCUCCAGCUGCUCCUAUAAGUCUGGUGCCAGAGUCUGCCACCUGCAUCCAGGCAUGGGGCUCCCUCCCCAUGCAUCCGCCCUACUGCUGCACAGGCCUUGAUCUCUUUGUCUGGAACGUUUCCAUCACAGACUUGCCAUAAGUGUGUGGAGACUUCCAUAUCUUCUCUUUAAGGCAAAUUUCAGCAAAGCUGGCUUUGGGCAGACUGCCAGGACAGCAUAUUUGGCACUCUUCACAAAGAGUUUAUUCCUGAUCAAAGCUGGUUGUCAGUACAACAGCCUUCACAAGAGCAAAAUGUCAUCUGGGAAAGGAAGUAUGUUAUGUGUGUUUACCUCAAACCAAAGGCUGAGAUUGGAGACAACAGUUUCACUAGGGCUGAGUCCUUUACACUGUCCUGCAGAAGUCAAUGAGUCUGGAACUCCUCUCUUAUUAAGGCUGAGUCAGUGUUGAGGCCUGGAGGGCAACAACACUGAUCUGGUGCAGGCCUAUCCCCUGGCUGCAGGAGGGUACCAGGUCUGACAAACUACACAUGGC
rnacentral:lncRNA from 1 species